CGUCCCCGCUCGCCGCAGGUGGGUCGCGGCCACGGCGCUCUGCUCCGUCAUCCUCCUCGUCGUCACCUGCAACGCGGCCGGGAUGGCGCUGGGCACCUACGGGCUCUGCAAGCGCGACGACCCCGGCGACUACGAGUGCCACGGCGAGGCCGGCGCCAGGCUGCUCAUGCUGUAGGUACCGCGGCGGGUGCUGAGCGGCCCCGGUGAUUUUGCAACACUCGGAUGCUGCUCGUCUCCCCGCUGCAACGGGGCUUUUCCCGAACCGGGACGGGGCGAAGGGCGAGCUCUUUGCAGCGGGAGGCGAGCGGAGCGGCGCGGCCGUGCCGGGCGUCGCGGGCCGCCGCCUGCGCCGGCGGGCUCGGCCGGAGCGGCUCCUCCCCGGGAACGCCGCCGGCCCUUCCCACGCGGCGCGGCCGGGCCGGGCUCCGCAGCAGGCCCCGGCAAGCCCGCCCGCAAGCGGCCCACGGCGCCGGCUCUGCCCCUUUUCCAGCGGCGUCGGCCUCAGCUUCCUCUUCUCCGGGCUCCUGAGCCUGCUGGUUUUUGCCACCUUCCUGGUUGGCGGCAACGUCCAGACGCUGGUCUGCAGGAACUGGGCCAACCAGGAGAUCUAUAAGGUGGGCGGCUUUUUGGGGGGGACGCCUCCCAAAGUGCAUGGUUAUCCCGGGAAAGCCGGGAGAGCCCCGGCCGUGGCCCCGGCUCGGUGGGGGACCGGCACCGUGCAGCCUCCAGGAUGCUCGGAGCAGCUCGGGGUGCUGCGAGGAGGCUGGGAAAAAGGGGGAUGAAGGCUCCUCGGGCACCUCAUCCUCUCCUGCAUCCCGCACAGUUCAUCGACACUCCCGGGAACCUGCCGCCCUCCAUGAACCUCAGCCGGCGGCUCAACCUGCGCAGCAGCUACAACCUCAGCGCCGCCUACCAGUGAGCGCCGUGUCCCCCCGCGCCCCGGCAUCUCCCCGGGCUGCCGCCGGCGGAUCCGCCCCGGCUCCCGCCAGCCCCUUUUCCGGGCUCGCCCGGCUGCAUCCGAGCCACGGCGGGAAGGCGGCCGGCAACAGCGGUGGCUGCAACCGCCCUUUGCCUCGGCAGCGAGUGCAAGCGCGGCGCGGGGCUCUGGGAAGUGCUGCAGCUCGACGAGUCCUACGACCUGGACGAGCACCUCAAAGCCUCCAAGGUGAGGGCUGCUCCGGUGGCGGGGCUGUGCCGGCGGCGCCUCCCGCCUCACCCGGCCCCCCCCGGUGCCGCCGCAGUACGCCGCCGGCUUCCAGAAGCGCCUGGACGACUUCAGCACCCGCCUGGGCGACGUGCGGCUCCUGCGCGACGAGGGCAGGAGGGACCUGGAGGCUUUCGCCCGCGCCGGCGCCGACCGCGUGGACUACGGGCGCUUCCAAGCCGAGGUCGGAGCACGCCGCCGCCAUCCCUCCCAUCCGUCCCCGGCGGGGGGGAGGGGGGUGUUUCCCGCUGACGUGCAUCUUCCCGCAGAUGCAAAACCCCGUGGUGAAGACGAGCCUGGCCGGGCUCGCCCGGAGCCUGGAGGGGCUGCAGAAGUUGCAGGUGAGCGCGGCGGCGGCGGUGGGCACCCCGGGCACCCCGGACACCCCGCUGACGCCGUCCCCGCCGCCCCCCGCAGAGGAACGGCACGGUGGCGGGGCGCCUGGCCGCCGAGGCCCGGGCGCUGUGGCGGAUGCACAACUCCACGGUGCGGGCGCAGGAGGCCUUGGUGGUGAGUCCGCGCCGGGCGGGCGGGUUGGGGGCUUUCGCGGCGCCCCCGGCCCCGGCGCGGGGCUCAGCCCUCUCCGUCUCGCAGGCGAAGCUGGCCGAAAGCGUCCGCUUCCUCUCCGCGUUGGCGCCUCACCUCCAGGUACGUGCAUGGCGGAACGGUUUUUUUUUCCCAGCGUUUUCCAACGUGCAUGGUCCCCUCGGCCCGUCCCCUCCAAAAAUCAAGUUAUCCGGGUGCCAGGAAAGCCGCCAUCCCGGGCGGAUUGGCUCCUUGUAUUCCCCGCUGCAUAUCAGACCCCCCCCCCGCAACCACCCCUGCACCCAGACNNNNN
ensembl:lncRNA